AUUGAACGCUGGCGGCAGGCCUAACACAUGCAAGUCGAGCGGAUGAAGGGAGCUUGCUCCUGGAUUCAGCGGCGGACGGGUGAGUAAUGCCUAGGAAUCUGCCUGGUAGUGGGGGAUAACGUCCGGAAACGGGCGCUAAUACCGCAUACGACCUGAGGGUGAAAGUGGGGGAUCUUCGGACCUCACGCUCUCAGAUGAGCCUAGGCCGGUUUAGCUAGUUGGUGGGGUGAAGGCCUACCAAGGCGACGAUCCGCAACUGGUCGGAGAGGGUGGUCAGUCACACUGGAACUGAGCCACGGACCAGACUCCUACGGUAGGCAGCAGUGGGGAAUAUUGGACAAUGGGCGAAAGCCUUAUCCAGCCAUGCCGCGUGUGUGAAGAAGGUCUUCGGAUUGUAAAGCAGUUUAAGUUGUGAGGAAGGGCAGUAAGUUAAUACCUUGCUUUUUUGACGUUACCAACAGAAUAAGCACCGGCUAACUUCGUG
rnacentral:rRNA from 1 species